rnacentral:rRNA from 1 species
AACUUCCAGCGAGUUGACCUCGAAUCAGGCAGGACUA